GACUUCAAUUCAAAAUUACUGAAACUCAAAACCUACAGAAUCCUGAAACCAGUACAAGCUCAUCAAUCACCAAGCGAAUCUACAGCAUUUAUCACGGCUAGAACCAUCGCGAAUAUUCUGCAACAGUUCAGUGACACCAUUGUCGGUGAUUUGCACAGGUUCAGUAUUGAAAUCGUUUUGAUCUGGCAUUCGGUUAUCAACGGCUUGCAAUCAGGUGUUGUCUUGACUGUAGUAUGCAAGCAGAAAAUCUGAAAUCUAACAUCUGUUUCCUUAUAACCUAAAGGAGAAGGACACACUAGUUAUAUAGUUCUUUAUUUACCACUUUGUUGAAGCACAAAGCAACUCUGCUUCAAAGCAUCUAGUUAUCUAGCUCAAUGGAGGUGAAUCACAUUAAACUUCGUCUACCAAACACCUUUCUUUGUAGUUGUAUUAAGCUAAUGCAUUCAUUAGACUGUAAGUGUGUUUUGUAAAGAUGGCUUAUGUCAACUAGGAUUGUAACGAGCCUUAGAAUUUGACACUUUGCAGAGUUUAUGUUUCUUUUGUUUUGAGUUUCAACUUCCUUGUAGCCUUUGUAAGGCGUGACUGUACAUCUGUUGGAAUUGGAGCCCUCAACGAACAUGGUCUUUUUGUUACAAAUCAAGGAGAGGCUAUUCAGGAAAAUCAGUAUAGUUGGAACAAAGUAGUGUGCGGACAAGUGGGGAGUUGAAUACCACUUUUUUACACAGGAUGUUGUCAUGCAAAUUGAUUGUCAUGAGUCUCUCUGUGCACCACCCAUCCCACAAUGAACUUGUUUUAAUUAAGAUAAAUCUUUAUAUUAUUUCAACCCAUUGAAAAUGAAAAUACCAACCAUGCAGUGACAGAUAAGUGGGGAUUUACGAGCAAACAUAUGGGAAUUUGAAGUGGACAUUUUGUACAAAGGUUGUGGGAACUACCAAAUAUUAUCCCAGGAUUUUAUGGCCAAUUUUAUUCAAUUGUACCUAGUCCACACAGGUCAUAACCUUAGUAAAAUUGAAGGCCUCUUAAUGUGCAUCACUUGUUAAAUAGUGAUCUUUUCUAAGUAGAACAUAUGGGAAUUUGGACUGGAUUUUCUGUACAAAGGUGGUGGGAACUACCAAAUAUUAACCUAAGAUUUUAUGGCCAAUUUAUUCAACUGUACCCAGUCCACGUAGGUCAUAACCUCAAUAAGAUUAUCACUUGUUAAAUAGUGAUCUUUACUAAGUAGAACAUAUACUUGUUCGGGUUGUGUACGGACAAGUGGGUAAUUGAAUACC